GUUUACCAAAAACAUAGCCCUAGAAAUAAUGUAAGGUGUAACCUGCCCGGUGGUUCUAAAUUAAAUUCAUAAAAAGAAUGUAAUAGAACUAAAAGGACGCGGUAACCUUGACCGUGAUAAUGUAGCAUAAUCACUCGCCAUUUAAUUGGUGGAUAGUAUGAAUGGUUGAACGAAUAUUCCACUGUCUUAAAGAGAAUUAAAAGAAAUUGAAAUAAUAGUUAAGAUGCUAUUUUAAACUGUAAGACGAAAAGACCCUAUAGAGCUUAACUAUAAUCUCUAUUAUAAUAACAAAUCAUUUAUUUGUAAGCUAUAGAGAUUGGUAGUUUAGUUGGGGCGACUAUCUUUUAAAUUAAACAAAGAUAAGCAAUAUUAAUAGAUAAUUUAUUGUAUAAUUAAUUUAUUUAACAAUUAUAAAAAUAGGCUAUAAUGACCCGUUAAUACUACGUAAAAAGAUUAACGAUCAAUUGAUAAAAGCUACCUUAGGGAUAACAGGAUAAUUUCAUUUUAGAGCUCCUA
rnacentral:rRNA from 1 species